rnacentral:rRNA from 1 species
UAGGGAAUCUUCCGCAAUGGACGCAAGUCUGACGGAGCAACGCCGCGUGAGUGAAGAAGGUUUUCGGAUCGUAAAGCUCUGUUGUUAAGGAAGAACGAGUGUGAGAAUGGAAAGUUCAUGCUGUGACGGUACUUAACCAGAAAGGGACGGCUAACUACGUGCCAGCAGCCGCGGUAAUACGUAGGUCCCGGGCGUUGUCCGGAUUUAUUGGGCGUAAAGCGAGCGCAGGCGGUUAGAAAAGUCUGAAGUGAAAGGCAGUGGCUCAACCAUUGUAGGCUUUGGAAACUGUUUAACUUGAGUGCAGAAGGGGAGAGUGGAAUUCCAUGUGUAGCGGUGAAAUGCGUAGAUAUAUGGAGGAACACCGGUGGCGAAAGCGGCUCUCUGGUCUGUAACUGACGCUGAGGCUCGAAAGCGUGGGGAGCGAACAGG